rnacentral:rRNA from 1 species
UACGUAGGGGGCAAGCGUUGUCCGGAUUUAUUGGGCGUAAAGAGCGUGUAGGCGGCCAUACAGGUCAGCUGUGAAAACUCGAGGCUCAACCUCGAGACGUCGGUUGAAACCGUAUGGCUAGAGUCCGGAAGAGGAGAGUGGAAUUCCCGGUGUAGCGGUGAAAUGCGCAGAUAUCGGGAAGAACACCCGUGGCGAAGGCGGCUCUCUGGGACGGUACUGACGCUGAGACGCGAAAGCGUGGGGAGCAAACGGG